UGCUGAACAGGCAAAGCUAAGAUAGGUCUAAAGACCCCUGCACUGUGUGUGGUCUCAAUACCCCUGCACUCAGAACAGAAGGACUCCAGCUGUAUGAUUCACAAUAGGGGAGCCAUCUUUGUCCAGAUGUGACACACAAAGGAGAGUUGGAUGAAGGCCCACCAUGACCUCCUCAGGAGAACUGCAAGUUUCCUUUGGGGGUUCAUCUAAAGCUUGGAGGUCAAAGCCAAAGAGGAUACAGGGACUAAGAGGACACCCACAUGUCCCUUGCUAUGCAAGGUCAUCCAGGACCUAGGAGAUGACAUGAAUUCUCUAAAGUGGCCCUAAAACUCUGAGAAGUCACCUCUUCCGUUGAUCAGAGAGGCCCUGGAGUCACCAGAGUUUAGAUGGCAACUGCGUAUAUCCUGUAAAGAGAGCCGGUGAAGGAAGACAUGUCCAUGGUCACACUUGUGCCGUAUGCUGGGAACUGUGUGGAGUGUGAUAGACCCUGAUCCCAGCCUGCUGGAAAUUGCUCAUCUCUAGACAGAAUUAGCUCCUGAGAGCCUCAGUUCCAGACCUGCCACUUUCUGCCCACCAGCUUCUAACUCUGCACCUUGCUCUCUGUAGUACUAAAACUCGAAGCAUCCUCCAGUUCCAGCUUCCAUUAAGCUGUCCAUAAACGUGUGCCGCUGCACCUCCUCAUGCGCACGCUGCCCUCAGCACCCAUCCAACCCCACUCUCAUCAUCACACACCUUUACUCACAUCUCAGACUGUAAGCUGACUCCAGCUCUCCAACUCCUCUGUUCUUGCAUCCUAGAAGCUGAGUGUGGAGGGGUAAAACACAGGACCACUCUGGCUCAUUCAUAAUGAAACUCUCUGGAAGAAACUUUUGUACUUGUCCCAUCUCUUAUUUCUUGGACUAAUUCCCAAGUUUUUCCUUACACCAGUUGACCAAAAGCUGCAAAAGUCCUUCAUGGUACUAAAGCCAGUGGUGCAUCCAUUUUCUGUCAUCUUAAUGGCCAGCGGCAGUGUUUGACAGCCGCCUGCUUUGCAUAUGUGAUUUCCACUUGGCCUCCAGUGGUCUCUAUCAACUUCAUUCACUUUUGCCUUCUUGAUUGGAUUCAGGAAUUAAGGGAAUUAAGUCCUCACUCUAACUCUAUGAGAAAACAUUAGCCCUCCUCCGGUUUAAAGGUGAUGAAACCAAGUCAGAGAGAGACUGGGCGACUCACCAGGCUUAUAAACGGUGAGGCCAGAGUCUUCUUGUCUUUCUCUCUCCACCUUUAUACCUCUUCUCCCAUCCAUCCAUCCAU